rnacentral:misc_RNA from 1 species
GGAAGUAAAAGUCAUAACAAGGUUUCCGUAGGUGAACCUGCGGAAGGAUCAUUAUCGUACAAAAUGUGAGGGGCAUGCGAGGGCUGUCGCCGACCCAAAAGUCGUGCACGCCCGAGUGUGUCCUCUUGCAUAAUAAUCCAUCUCACCCUUUGUGCAUCACCGCGUGGGCACCCUUCGGGAUCAUCUCGGAGGGGGACUCGCGUUUUCACACAAACCCCCCUUUUAAAAGCGUAGAAUGACCACAUUUAUGCAAUCAAUACAACUUUCAACAACGGAUCUCUUGGCUCUC